rnacentral:tRNA from 1 species
UUCAAAGUAGCUCAGCGAUGGAGCAAUCGGCUGUUAACCGAUCAGUCGCAGGUUCGAUUCCUGCCUUUGGAG